rnacentral:rRNA from 1 species
GUCUCCUUGUAUAGAUAGUUAUAAGGAGUCGGACCUGCCCAGUGACUAUAUUGUUAAACGGCCGCGGUACCCUAACCGUGCAAAGGUAGCAUAAUCAUUUGCCUUUUAAAUGGAGGCUUGUAUGAAUGGUUUGACGAGAGCCAAGCUGUCUCUUUUGAAAUAGUUAAAAAUUAACUUUUAGGUGAAGAGGCCUAAAUUAAAUUGAGGGACAAGAAGACCCUGUUGAGCUUGAGUGUUGCUAAGUUUAUUUGUGUGUUAUUACGGAUAGUUUCAUUUAUGAAAUGUUAUAAUUUAGUGAUUCUUUAGUUGGGGCGACUGAGGAACAUAUAAAGCUUCUUUGGACUGUUUGUAAUUUAUUUUGUAUGUAAAUUAUUAUGAUCCAGUUUUACUGAUUAAGAGAAAAAGUUACCACAGGGAUAACAGCGUAAUCUUUCUGGAGAGAUCUUAUCGAAAGAAGGGUUUGCGACCUCGAUGUUGGACUAAGGUAUCCUAAGGGUGUAGAAGUUCUUGAGGGUUGGUCUGUUCGACCAUUAAAACCUU